GUUUUCACUCGUCUACUGCGUGUGUACAUUAUAAUCCAUAUAAUGUUGUACAUAUUGAUAACAUUGAGUACACAAUCACAUGAAAUAAUUAUUUUAAUAAAAAAUUAAAAUUUAGUGACAUACGUAAGAGUAAAAAUCUUCACCGAAAACGUAAAAAAGUAGAAUAAUAUUAUACAACUGUUGAUCGUCUCAGAGCAUACCUUGACAGUAUUAUAACAUACUAUAAAUUUAAUCAUAAAUAUUAAAAUCUAUUAUUCCGUGAAGAUAAUUAAUUUUCAAAUACACA